rnacentral:lncRNA from 10 species
GUGGUGUUCCCCGCCAUGUGUCCAUGUGUUCUCAUUGUUCAGCUCCCACUUGUGAAUGACAAUAUGCAAUGUUUGUUUUUCUGUUUCAGUGUUAGUUUGCUGAAGACAAUGGCUUCAAGCUCCAUCCAUGUCCCUGCAAAGGACAUGAUCUCAUUCCUUUUAAUGCCAGCCCUCAUUUUCAAAUCUCUUCCUUUUCAAGUUUGUGCCAAAUCAGAAAUUCUCCAAGGUUGUUUCUUUUGGUAGUAUUUUUACAAAAUGAACAUUUUACUAUUUAUUUGGUUUCUACCAUGUGCCAAAUGUGGAGCUUUAUAAUAUAGCUUUUAUAUUAGGGCUACAAAAAGUUUGUGAAAGACUGAUGAUUACAUAGCCUCAGUUUGACUCCAGAUAGAGGCCCAAACUCAGGUUAGGCUGACAUUCUUUUUAUCCUCGAUUCUGCUGAGUCACUCUGAGAAGGCAAAUAUUGUCAGAAGCCUUGCGUCUGAGUGCUGGGCGUACCAAACUGGUUGGAAAGGAGGUGGCUGGGAAACACCUCCUCUAGGCUUUUGGUGUUUCUUUUCCUGCAGAGGGUACUUCACUAGAACAACUUUUCUGAUUGUUUAUUCCUUUGCAUACUCCUCUCUAGGAGAAGUGAAGUGGCUUAUGCUUUUCAUCCAUUUCAAAGCCCCCUCCUCUCAUCUUUUCUCCCCUCUUUGGGACCCAGCUGCCAAGGAACAGGCUUUCUGUCCCAUCCCCACAUGCUGUAUGUUUCACAUGGUUCCUUUGCCUGUAUUAAGCAUUCGGAAGUCAAGAAAAGAAGAAUGUGGUUUCUUGGGCUGCUUCAAAAGCCAAAAUUAAGAAUACAGUAGUGAAAAUGUGUCUAUGAUCAUCUCAGAGCACUAUGUGGAUAAAAUGGCUAUCAAAUUAAAAAUCCCUGUUUACCAUACUGAAGACUUCUGACUCUCGAGGCAAAAGGUAAUUAUUCAAGAUUAUACCAUGAAUGAAAUUAACAAGACCCUGAUAACAUCAGUGUUAUAUGAUUCUGUUCGACUUCCAAUAGGAUUGUGUCUCAGCAACAUCAUCAGCACCUUGAAGAGUCUGAACCUGUUACUUUAGGGCACACUUUUUAACGUUGAAAACAAACAUCUCAACCAAAGGAAAAGCAGCAUUAAUAUUAACAAAACAUAAAGAGAUUCAGUAAACAAUUUGGCCAGAAUUUAUAAGAUUUGUUGGCUGAUUGGAAGCAGGGAUUUGAGAGAGAAGGAGAAGUCUAAAAUAAGUCCAGAGUUUCCAAUUUAUUCGUGUUGUAAAAUUAACCUGGAAAUAGCAAUAGGAAGAUCUAAUUUGGAUUUAUUUUAAAGAUUAACUGGGUUACUUUCAUGAAAUCUGCAUUAAAAUAUCUGGUAACUAGAAGGAAGUAUGGAUCCAGGACUCAAGAAAGAAGGAAUGAGAAUAUAAUCACUGUAGAAGCCAGGGAUAUGUAGAUGAUCACCUUAAAAGAGCAUGAAAAGGGCUGGGUGUGGCAGCUCACAUCUGUUAUCUCAGCACUUUGGGAGGCCAUGGUGGGCAGAUCACUAGAGGAGAGGAGUUUGGACCAGCCUGGCCAACGUGGCAAACUCUGUCUCUGCUAAAAGUACAAAAAUUCACUGGGUGUGGUGGCACACAGCUGUAGUCCCAGCUACUUGGAAGGCUGAGGUGGG